UACAGGGGGUGCAACCGUUGCUCGGAAUCAUUGGGCGUAAAGCGCACGUAGGCGGUUCGUUAUGUCGGAUGUGAAAGCCCUUGGCUUAACCGAGGAAGUGCAUCCGAAACUGGCGAGCUAGAGUACGAAAGAGGAUCGCGGAAUUCCCGGUGUAGAGGUGAAAUUCGUAGAUAUCGGGAGGAACACCGGUGGCGAAGGCGGGACUCUGGGCCGAUACUGACGCUGAGGAGCGAAAGCGUGGGGAGCGAACAGG
rnacentral:rRNA from 1 species